rnacentral:lncRNA from 1 species
UGAACAGAGCAUGUCUAUGAAUACACAGUGCAGAGAGAUUCAAACAAGUUCUCCAACCAGCCUCCACAGUCACACCUCCCACAAAAUCUCUAUCUCAUCAAAUGUGAAAUGGUGGUUGUGUAUGAUAUAAUCCUGUUUUGUCUUCUGUAUAUGCACAUUAAUGACUUUUUAAGAUUCAUUGCCUCCAGGUAAACGACUAUAGGCUUCCUUAACUCACCUUACUUUAUUCAAUCAAAAUUUGGGGAGAAGAGAAAAUACAAAAACAAAGAGAAAAGAAAACCUGGCAGAAAUACUCAUGUCUCUCUUAUCUGUCUUCCAUUUCAACACAUCUCCACUUCUUUCUCCUCACUGCAGUUGAGAGAUCGUCCUUUUAUUUUUUUUAAUUUAAUUAAAUUAAAUUUUAAAAAGUUUUUUGGCUAUACCAGGUCUUGUUGCUGUGUGGGCUUUCUCUCGUUGUGUUUUUUUGGCUGCACCAGGUCUUUGUUGCUUGUUGUUUGGGCUUUCUCUGGUUGUAGAGAGCAGGGGCUCCUCUCUAGUCACAGAGCACGGGCUUCUCUUGUCGCAGUGCACAGCCUCUAGAGUGGGGGCUGAAUAGUUGUGCNNNNNNNNNNNNNNNNNNNNNNNNNNNNNNNNNNNNNNCCUGCACAGGGGAUUGAAUCUGUGUCCUUUGUAUUGAUAGGCAGAUUCUUAGCCACUGUACAACCAGGGAUGUCCUAGAGAGAUCUUUAAAAUAAUGCUCAUCAGAGUCCACCCACUCCCAUUCAUCCCCACCACCAUCUUUAAUUUUUCAUUAACUUUCUAUUGCUUUUAGCCUACAGAUGAAAAGGCCACACUGUCCAGACUGUUUACACUUUCCUCCUCAGAACAGGGUUGGGCUGGUCCCUCCCCACCUUCCUCUGUUCAGUUAGGUGAGCGCACCUGGUCUUUCAGAUCUACUUUCCUGAGUUCCUUAAUGAAGUCUAACCCCAUCACAGGCNNNNAAAUGCUCCUCCUUUUCAAGCAUCAUAAUUG